ensembl:lncRNA
AAAAGACUGGCAAGCCAACUCUCAGAAGCAGAGAAAGCUCUACAUUAAUAAGCAACAAAAAAGAAAAGGAGAGAAAGGCACCAUCUGGCUUUGCCCUUCCCACAAAAAUGUCAGGCUCUUGCCUUGCUCUGGAAGUGUACAGAAGCUGCACAUCAGCACUGGGAGACUCAGGAGUGGGGUCCUGGGGAAUGCUUUUUUGAGUGAGCAACUUUUCAAGUGCAACAUCAGGGGUGCAUUUGACUGCCUGAGGAGCUGAUCCUGGAAGAAAAACCUCUGAGACCUGUGCAGCAGUCCAGAGCUCUGCUUGCAGCCAGCUCUUUUCCCAAUACACCGUGGAUUAGGAAGACAACUAUCUAAAGCAGUAGGCUGCAAAUUUUUUGACCUAAAGUUUUUACCAACCAAAUCUCAGAGUUUUCCUUGAAAUGCUUUAUGACUGAUUCAUCAAACUUUCAACGAAUUAUAUGAACACACUAAUUUCACAGGAAAAAAAAAAAAAAA